UUGUUGUUGUUGUUGUUGCUAUUUCUUGGGCCGCUCCCGCGGCAUAUGGAGGUUCCCAGGCUAGGGGUUGAAUUGGAGCUGUAGCCACCGGCCUACGCCAGAGCCACAGCAACGCGGGAUCCGAGCCGCAUCUGCAACCUACACCACAGCUCACGGCAACGCCGGAUUGUUAACCCACUGAGCAAGGGCAGGGACCGAACCCGCAACCUCAUGGUUCCUAGUCGGAUUCGUUAACCACUGCGCCACGACGGGAACUCCUGGCAGCUGUUUCUGUUGCUUCCUAUCUUAUCUGACCCAUAGGAGUAUAAAGGUUCCCUCUUUUCGUAUGGGGUUUUUAUCCAAAUCUAUCCAGUCCAGGUCACGCCUGCCCUUCCCUGGGGAUAUCAUCCCCAUUCACUGUGGCUCUCCUCUUUGCUGUUGCACUUACUCUCAGGGACACUCAUCUGGGUACACAAUCAUUCACUUUGUGUCAUCUUGUAAUUAAUUUAUUUGGUUUAUGAUUAUCUCCUCAGUGAGACUGUAAGCUCCUUAAUGGCAGAAACCUUGUCUUAAACUUCUGAAACUCACACAAGGUCUAGCACCAUUAUAAAGAAAGUGUUCUGCCAGAAGGCCUUGUUUACUACAGGGAGUGUACCUACAUUAAUCUCUAAUCCCCUGUGACUAGUUUACAAGAAGAAAAAGGGCAAAGAAACUAUGAGACUUAUGGGACAUUUCUACCCCUAUGACCCUAUGGACAAGGACUAAUAAAGGUAAUUGAGCAAGGCCAAAAGGAGAAAACCACAUCUUUCUGGACCCCACGCUGGUGCCUCUCCCAUCUUUAAGGGAUAAAAAUCUCUAUAGGACAAUAAAGAAGGGGGCUCUUCUCCCCACUCCCAGCAACCCUGGGAGCUAUUUGCUUUCCUUUAAUAAAGACUUUGCUUGCUAAAAAAAAAAAAAAAAAAAAAAAAAGUAUUUUGUUAAAUUAAGGAUAAGUAGGUAGGGAACAUAGGUGUUAGAAAUCAAAUUUCUGGUUCUAGGUAGACAGACAAGCUAAUAUUGAAAAGAAAUUUAUAGUACUCUAGAUUUGUCUUUAUCAUACUUCUGAACUAAUUUUUAUUUUUUUUUUUGUCUUUUGUCUUUUUAGGGCUCCACCUGCAGCACAUGGAGUGGCCCAAGAAAAGGCAAAGAGACAAAAAAAAAAAAAAAAGAGUGUGAUUGUCAUUCAGGAUAUAGCAGACAUCUUUGGAAAGAGGUCUGAGACAUUUGGAUCAGAGCUACAAGACAUACAGUGCUAAGAAUAUAAGGGCUUCCAAUUAUAUUAGAAAACACACUUAUAUCUAUAAUGUUUGAAAGAAUUUCCUCAAAACCCAAAAUGUAAAUCCAACCGAGCUGCAUUAGACAGGAUCACUGAUCCUUGGUCCAAUGGAUUAAAAAGAACCUGAAAGGCUUUUCCUGAAUGGAUAACAAUGCAAGUCUCAGUCUACUUUGCCCUCCUGAUAGUGUCAGCUUCUCAACAAUGAGAACACCCUGGUUCUGGUGUUACAGCUCUUCAUUUGGUUUAAGAAAACUCAGAAACAAACCUGAAUCAAGUAUCUGGGGCUAAGAGUUGCUACACCACACCCCAGUAAGGAAGAACAAGCUUAAAAACAAAUAUACAGCUGAAAGGUAUCUUUAAGAAAUGAAUACCAAACCUUCCUGUUUAGGCACAAACUAAGAGAGUUCAGUCUGAGAGAUAUCAGUAAGAGCUACUCUAUACUACCUACCCCUUACUUUUUAAUUCUAACUAGAAGAAGUUCAUCUAUUCCUAGAGCUCAAGGGAAUUUGGCUUCUCAAAUUCAUAUUUAUUUCUGGAACUCAGUGCUGAGUGGGUUGUUGACUAAUGCUAGUAAGCAUGUUUGGUGAGAUAGACAAGAUAGUAUCUCCCUUCUUUGGUCACCAAAUGCCCAGCCACAGAAUUCUUUCAGUCACUGGAACGCCCCACUAAAAAUCAAACUAAAGAGCUAUGUUAAAGUAAAACUGCAUCAGAGGAAUUCCAGCUCAAGCCAGAGUUUGGCUCUUUCCCAGCCUCCUCACACUUUCCUUGGCUGUUCCCACCCCUACCAAAGCUCCUCACCCAAGCCCUCAACAGCCGCAAAGGAGGGGAGAGAAUGACCAGUGUCCCUUCUCAGAGAAAGAGAUGGCCUUCAGGUAGCUUGAUGUCUGUCUUUUGAUUGACUGAAGAGAGCAGACCUCAUCUAGGAGGUGCUGUCACACUGCCAGAGAGGCCCAUCUGUGCUCUGCUCCUCUGGCACUGGGACUUGUGGUCUGGGAGGGCUGUCCCCAGCGGGGCAGCAGGCUGGCUGGUGGGUUCACCCUGAACCUCACUUUCGCUGGGGCCCUGCCUCUUGCAGCCAAUGCCCAUGAGCUCCUGCCUCUGAGAGAACACUGAAGAAAUUCAGAGCCAAGAUGGAAGGCUGUGCCAGGUUGGCUACCUGCUCAAACAGCCCUAACGUACAAGAGCAGGCUCAUAACUCCAAGAGAGCUGAAUGGGGAGGGGGGCUUAUUGUCACAUGGCAUCUCCGAUGCCUGCAAAGGGAGGACCUGCUGAAGCCACUAGAGAAACAGGGGCUGCUGCUAGCGGGGGCCAGUAUGGAGGUCAGGACCAUAGCCUCACUGUUUACCUUAUUGCAAACCCUCUUGCUUUAUUCAUGGUGGAGGCCAGGCCCGGCCCUGAGCCUGCAGGCAGACAUAACACCUAGGCCACAGGAAAGCUUGUUCUGAUCAUAUAUAUGAAUUUUUUUUUUUUGUCUUUUUUUUGUCUUUUUUUUGUUGUUGUUGUUGUUG
ensembl:lncRNA